CAGUUAUAAUGAUUAACCUAUUAAUAGGGCGGUAAUGAUUGUUUGGCAGCAUGGCUUGAUUUACUUCAAAGAAAUAAAUAUCCCCGUCCUUUAGGAGGUGAUUUAAUUUUCUUUUGGGUGAGCCGUGGAUCCCCAAAGAAAGAAAAUGCCCGUAAAAAGGCUGGGCUGACCCAGCCCUCAUUACUCUUCAAAGGCAGCAGUGUGCAGGGGGCAGGGUGGGGAGCAAAUUGCUUGCUAGGAGGAGAAGAUCUGUUCACUGAAGUAUUCGAUACUGCCAGGCACCUCUCAUCCUUAAAUGCACGCAGAAGAGGAAUGCGAGACCUUAACCGGGUGCAGCAUUCCCACAGCAUCCUGGGUCAAUCCAUCCUCCUAAGCAGUCCCUAAGCAAGGUAGUUCAGAAAGGUGGACAGAAAAGGAUGCUUAAAGGUUUCCUUUUUAUAGUUCCCUAGAUUUUUAAGAUUGUAUUUGCAAAGGAGGACAUUUACAAAAUAAACUAAAAUAAACAAACUCAUACCAUCUCAGAAGCCAGGUCAGCUUAGCCAACCUGAUUGACACCGCAGCUUAACAAAACCAGAUUUCAGCUGUACUGGGACUUCAUGUUACUCGCUUUUGCUGCUCUGAAAAGGGCUAAAAGUAGGAAUUGUAAUACAAGCAGCUGUAUUGUGUUUCUGUGCACAUUACUGUAUUCCACAAGGUGAUCAGGAUUCAAGCUGGCCAUUUUGCUUUCAUGUUCUUGAACAAAACCUUGCGUGAGUCGUGGUGCACAGCAUUAGCAGGGCCCAAACAGCAGUGCAGGAAGGGGCUGAAGUGCCCAUUCAUGAGCCCACACUUGAUGACCACCGCUCAGCCCUCACUUGCUACAUCAGGCAAGAUUUCUUCUGCUCCUCUAAGGUGGGAGAAAAGCUGCUCAAAAUGCUAAGAACUGAUCAGCUAGCUGCCUUGAACUCAGUGGGAUCAGAGUUUGAAUGCUGUUUUAAUAGCAAUAAAAAAGAUGGCUUUCUGCUUUUGUUACCAUCCUUACCCAGCCAGUGGAUCGGUCAUCCCUAGGCUGUAACAGGAACCUUCAUCCUUCACCUUCACAGGAUCUUCUGUGUAAGCAACUGCAUUUGUAAAACUAUUCUGGAUCUAAAUAACCUUACAGGUAGCUGGAAAGGCACACAACUAACUGUGGCCAGUGUGAUGUUAAAACCAAGCUUGUCAGAAACACUGCAGACAACCAAAGACAUCUCAAUCUGACUCCAGUGUAUGAGAGCUUGGAGGAGCACUGAUGGGGACUGUGCCACCGCUGACCCUGGCACCAUGUGCUAACGUCCACCUCACCGUCUGUUCAGUCUGGGCUUCCACUGAGCUCUGGGAGAAUGGUCAUUGGCCGGGGCCAGAAGUCAAGAGGAUUUAGAUAUCCGGCACUAUCUGACUCUUUUGCAACCCUCAGAUUCAGUUUCUCAAUAUGGCAAGGAUUGUUUGCUAAAUGAAAUAAUCCCUCUAACUGAAAAGAAAAUCAUUAUGUAAAAAAUAGAAAUAAGGCAGGCAUCCUUUACAUGACUUGUUAACCAUGCAGCAAUUAACUGGACCACUAAGGGUUAAUUCUGAUCCUGAGUGGGCCCAAUCAGGUUCGUUUCUGCCAUCUUAUUAGGUUAAAUAAAUAGAAACUUCUUGCAAUAUCCAUCCACAAUGAUAAGCAAUUCCCACUAUAAUGGAUGGCUAAUAUAUAAAUUCAGCCCACAUCAGUUUUGUGUCAACUAGCAAAAACAGAAACAAUGGAAACUAGACAGCCAUGGCUCUGCAUAGGUCAACAACCAAGGUUAUCUGUAUUCAAUUACUGGUAUCUGCAAACUUGCAUACUGUCAGCUGAUCGUAGACUAAAUGAAAACUUAUCAUGCACAGAGGCAGCAAAUACAUUUAUUUGAAGCAGGCAUCAUAUUAGUUCACUGGUUUGACUGUGGUUAAGGGAAAAAAAGGGGUUAUCAGUCUUUUGGGAAAUUCCUUCAAAUAUAACCUGCAGCAAAUAUCUAAAAUUGGGGAUUAUCUAUGUUAUAAAUCUUUGUUCAAAAAGUAGAAAAGGAACAGAAAUCACUCCGUAGCCCUCUAAGACGAUAAAUUAUAUUAUUUAACAAUAGAUAAACUUAGGGCACCUUUCCUGUGGAGCAGCCCUAUUGUGAAUUUGGCUUUAAUCUGCUUCACCUUAACAUCUGUUCAGUGGAACCAAAGAUUUGGCUGUUUUGGACGCAGACAAUAAUUUGUUUGUUAACCGCUUUGCUGGAACAAUACAUCAUUGCAGAAAACAAAGCCUACCAACACGACGCGUUUUUAUCUGUUUCCUCUAUCUGUGUUCCUUUUUCCACAAGUGCAAGUUCAGGCUUUUGAACUGUUUUCCUAGCGAUAAUUUGUGAUGCUGUUAGUUUCAUAACCCUGGAAAAACAGAUUUUUUUUUCAACCUUCUUUUUCAUCUUUGACCAACAGAUGUUCUGUUCAAAACCUGUAAGGACUCAUGAGGUACGUACUAGCAAAUUAUAAUUGUUAACGCCCCUGUGGAAGGAAAAUGUCAAUAAAUAUUUGUUAUCGCUGGCCUGUUUGGAAACAAAGGCAUUUGCUUCACAGAAGUUCACGUGCCAGACCUUUUUAUGCAUCUUUUCCAGCAGUCCAUUCAAUUAGACAUCUAACAUUUUGUUUCUUUUCAGACAAGGAAGUUAAAAUAACCUCAUAGAAUCAAAAAUAAAGCAUAAAAGCACGAAGGCAUCCUGUAUUCUAUGGUAAAAUAGCACUUGAGCUCAUUUCAGGGAUCCGAAUGCAGCCACAGAGCUGAGCUCCAGCACUUCACCAUUGCACACUAAAGCAGCAGUAAAGGGCAAAAAUCUAAAUGCAUAGUACCGUAAUGCAAAGAAAUGCCCCAACAACAUGUGGCUGCUGACAACUGCAAUCCAUACCUAUGGAUAAUCUCCCCUGGCCAAAUGACUCAACUAAAAUCAGACUUAACUGCAACUCUUCUCCUCCGGCGAGAGAUAUAGAGUAUGUUUGGUUCUGACUUCUCCCUCAUGUCACUGCAGUCCAGACUCAUCCUGCUACUGAAGGAGGAGGUAAAGCUUAAUUUCUAGAUGACUGAAAAAAGCAAAUGCUAUCAUUUUCAAACGCAGGUGGUGAGCUGCUAUAGGCAUUCAGAACUGCCCUGCAGAAAUACCAGGAAAACUUACUUAUGCCACCAGUGCCUCAAAGAGCUCUUAACACAUCCUUGCACUGUGCCAUUCCACUUCACUCUGCUUCUUGUUGAGCUCUUGUAUUUCCCUCAUUUUAUCUCCGGGUGUGUCUGAAGCUGUAGUUCUAUUCUAAAGACUAGGAUUAACAUCUAACACAUGCUGUGAUGAUUUGGCAAAUCAGCCUCUGCACCACUAAAAUGAAUGCUGUUUUACAGCAUGGACUGCACUGCAUGUGUUUCAGCCAGCACAGCCCCUGUAGGCUGGAGCUUCCUUGCCUUCUCCGUAGCUUUUUGUCCUCUUGUUGAUGCAAAGACUAGAGGAGUUGCGGGGUGCAUCCAUUUACCUGGCUACAGUGGAGCAUCCUUAAAAUGCAAGAAACUAGCCAUGCAAAUGAGACAGAAAUGGCUGCCACCCAAGGCAGAGGAAUUUUUCCAAGUCUGAACCCUAUGCAGGAAGCAACUUCUUAGUAACUAUUUGUUUUAUGGAUUCAUUUGAGGAGCUGAUAAAACUGAAAAGAGGGCUCCUGAGGUGUUUCACUAAUCAGGAGGACAGGGAUCUGCAUUUCUCAGAAGUCAUAUGCAGGAGUUUGGGUCUAGAAGAACUGUGACCUACUUAGAAGACUCUGACUUAAGCCCCAAAUAAUGCUCUUGCUCAAGCAUGAAUUACAAGCAGCUGAAGAAAGAUGAGCUUUCGCACUUGCGCUCCAGCCAAGUUUGCCCACAUCUAAUGAGGAAAAGUAGGAUUCGGUGCCAUUUUGUAUUCCCGUGAUGUGGUGCAGAUGGAGGCUCGGCACACGCUCCUUUGCCUCCCCUUGCAAAGCGCAGAGCUGGAAAGCAUCAGGUUGAAGAGCAGAGGAAGUGGUGGCUGUGAGAAGCUGCCUCACCCAUGGGAGUAGAGCCGGCAGCAGCUCUGGUGACUGGAGAUGGCUGAGCUGGAAGAAAAUAUUAAACAGCCCAUGGCCAAAAGCUUGGGGAGUUACAGCAGCAGCCAUCCGUGGAGGGAGGAGAAAGGCUGAGCCAUCACACCUCAGCUUGAAAGACCUUGGCAGAGGCAAAGAGGGUGGCACACGGGCGCUGGCCUCAGCCCUGAGCUGGGUGCAUGCCUCGCUGUGUGCCAGGCCCAGGCCCUGUCUGCAGCCAUGUGGACCCAUGUCCCAUGGAAGGGAAAUGCAACCGAGCUGAGCGCUGCAGUGAGUCAGCCUUCUGAUGCAAGAUGGGAAUGCAGCUGGGCUGGGCAUUGCUGUGGGAUUAUAAAGUUAAAAAAAUGGAAAAAAGCCCUUGGGGAAAGGGAAUGCAACUGAUGGGAGAAACAGCGGAAGAGGUGGACAGGAUGCAUCCUCUGUGCAUGCUUCGAGCACUGGGCCGUCUGUGGAUGCGAGUAAGGCUCCCGAAUUCUGUCAUCAAGGCCACACUGGGCUGCCCGUGGUGCACAGGCUCAAAGUGCACAACACUACCUGCUCACCGGGUCAGGGUUGCCCCACGCUGCAGGCAGGGUUUUGUUCAGCAAGAGAAAGGUUUUCUACAUAAAAGGCCUUAUAUCCAAAAGACACCAUUUUAACUUGGCCGCAGCAGCACUGGAAAUGCAUUCUGGGGAACAGGAAAAGUCCACGGGGCGGCUGUUGUCAGAAAACAGUUUCUGGAAAAAAUUAAAGUUCUCCUGAGGCAUGUAGAAAAAUUCCAGGACACUGUAUUAUUAUUGUUGUUAUUAUUACCCUUGAUCUUUUGGAAGGUGGAGAGGGAGCACAUGCCGUUUUAAAGAAAGAAGACAGGACAUCUGCAGCCUUUAAAAGGCAAAGCACAAAGGCUGCUGGGCUCUCCUUACAGCAUUUUUAAUUAUCUUUCUUAAGUUUCCCAAAUAAAAACAUCACAUUGAGCCUCACCCAAUAAAGCUAUGUGGGUAAAUACAAUACCCAUUGUCUAAUCAAUAUCAUAUUGCUCAUGGCUUUAGCUCGUUCAAUAUCUGAGAUCACUGCCUCCCGACUCACACCUAAGGAUGCCAAUAUCUGCUUAAUGUUGGACAAACUGCAGUUGUCAUUCCCUGUAACAGAGUUCUUUAAUCUCAUUAAUAACCUACAGAUACCAAAGUGCAGCUUCAAGUAAAGCUGGCUGGAGCGUGCCAGAUUUCCAGUGUGCAGUUUCAGCUCUGGAGUGGGGUGGGUUAAAGAGCCCUGGUCCUGCUGGGGCUGCAGCCCCUGCCCCACUGCUGCUGUGCUAGGGCACCCAUGAACAAAUUAAAAAAAAAAAAAAGUCAAAUGCAGAGGGCGAAGAGGUAAGGGUAUGAGCUCAGCCAGAUGCCGUGACUAGGACAAAGUGUAUGACUGAAGUAUAUCCUCCAAAAUACUCUUUCUGGGAGCAGCAGUGCUGUGUGCUUGGUGCGGGCAUGCCAUUGUGCCCACCCAUCAUCCCCACUGGAACCCCGGGGCAAGCAAAGGGCAAGCAGCGAGAGCGCACCUGGCCCAAGGCCUGUCCCAGCAGUGCAUCCAUGAGCCCCGCAGCCCCGCGCAGCUGUCCGGGCGCGAUGCCGCCACGUCCGAGCUCAGCACAGCUCUGGGGAGCCCAGAAUGUAUCGUGAAAUAAAAACAGCUGCGAGGGAAACUCAUAUGACUAGGAUAGGUGCCAUCUAGCAAUUAACAGCCAGAAGUUUUGAUCUGGAAAAUCACAUUUAUUUUAAUUGCUUCGCUGUUGUGUUCAUAAAGAAUUUGGCUCAUUUUAGUAUUUUCCUUAUUAGAUAUACGAUUUAACUUUGGAACAAUGUAGUCAUUAGUUCCAUUGUUCCAGAUAUUUCAUCACGGGGAAAUGAAUGAUGGAGACAUGUUCUGCAAGGAAGACUGUUUAUAAAUAUUUAUCCUUGUCUUAACAGAUAUUUGUGUAAUCCAGCCGAGUUUUCUAGCACAGAAUUCAGCAGUUGUUAAUCUGGCGCAUGGCAAGCUGCACAUCUCCUAACCUCUGAGCUCAGCAAGCGAUCUUAUCAAAAGGACAAAGUGAGAGAAGUACACUUUUGUUUUACAAUUAUUUCCUUUUCAAGACCCAAUUCUUUCCACUCCCUUCCGUGGGAAGACACGUGUGUCAGAUUGCCACCACCGCUGCCAUUCACUGACAUGCUGACCCCGCGGCAGGCGCUGCCCUCAGAGCCCUGUGCCAUAGGCAGGAUCGGGCCCUGCACACGCAGCUGGGAGGGGAGCUGUAAAAAAUGCAUGGGCCCUUCUGCUGCGAAUGAUGCUGCUCAGCUGAAAGGAACUGGGAGGUGAAAAAUGGAAUUUGGCAGUUCUGUGCCGCUCCACCAUUUGGUGCUUGUUGUGGGACUCCAGCAAAAGGGAGCUAUCACUGCGGGCAUAAUUUACUUGAUUUUAAGGAUCUGUAUGAAUUCUGGCACCAGACCAAGUAGCCAUUAGCUAUGAGGAGUGCUUCCCGAUGCUCAUUUGUUUUCCAUGUGUGAAUUUUCACUCAUCCGAACUUUCUUUAGAAAAAAUUUUUCUUCAUCAAUUCCAUGUGGAAAAUGCAACAGAAACCCAGAUAAUAAAUUAUUCAAGAAACACAACAGUUUUUGUUUUUUUAAAUGGAAAACUACUAGUUCUGGAAUCAGACUGUCUGCCUGCUUUGAUUUCUGAUAUCUUAAAGCUAAGUGUUAUAAAAUGAUACGGUUGUUCACAUGCUCCAGGAUAGGCUUUUGGGCAAAUUACCCUAAAUAAGGUAACUCAAUAGCCAGGUAGGCAGGCUUUAAUGCUAUUACUAUUAGGAAAAUACCAUUAAUAUGAGACAUAUGCGGGCCACUAUUACAUCAGCAGGGCCUCACUCACGCAGUAUGUGGGAGCAGUGCUGUGGAUCGUAGCAGCGGUGCUGGGCCUUCACACACGUAACGUGCCUUAGUCUUGAGGUCAAAAUCUGUUAAUGCAAUUUUGAGUAUAAGAACAAGAAUUUAAAAUCCAUGUGGUUUUAAUGCCAUGUUCUGAGAUGGGGGGGCAGGGGAUGAUUUGUUGCGUUUCUUUAUUUGGGCUGCUCGCACUGAACGUGAACUCCUUUGAAAUGUGUGUGUGUCACAUCAAGACUAACUUGUGAGAUGUGAUGAACAAAAACAAAAUCUCAUUCCAUUUCUUUGCUCAAAAAGUUUGAUUUUGGUUGUGUUUCAAAUUAUAAGGACCAUUAUUGGUAAUCUGCAUUUACUUCUCAUUGAAGCAUUACAUAAUAAACCAAAACCGUGUGUCAGAUGUACCGCUCCCAAAUAAGUGCACUGAGAUAAAGUGAGACCUCUAAGAGAAUGCCUGUCCUUUACAACGAGAGUAUUCCCAUUUUAAACAAUUAAUAUAUUUGGGUUUCUUCAUUUCUGCGGUCUCGUAGCACAACUUAUAGCUAAAGCGCUGUGUUGAACAUGCAUAUUUUGGACCGAGCUCUUC
rnacentral:lncRNA from 1 species